GUGCCAGCAGCCGCGGUAAUACGGAGGGAGCUAGCGUUGUUCGGAAUUACUGGGCGUAAAGCGCACGUAGGCGGCUUUGUAAGUCAGAGGUGAAAGCCUGGAGCUCAACUCCAGAACUGCCUUUGAGACUGCAUCGCUCGAAUCCGGGAGAGGUGAGUGGAAUUCCGAGUGUAGAGGUGAAAAUUCGUAGAUAUUCGGAAGAACACCAGUGGCGAAGGCGGCUCACUGGACCGGUAUUGACGCUGAGGUGCGAAAAGCGUGGGGAGCAAAACAGGAUUAGAUACCCUGGUAGUCC
rnacentral:rRNA from 1 species